rnacentral:rRNA from 1 species
UGAUGGUGACCUAAACCCUCACCAGAGUAACAAUUGGAGGGCAAGUCUGGUGCCAGCAGCCGCGGUAAUUCCAGCUCCAAUAGCGUAUAUUAAACUUGUUGCAGUUAAAAAGCUCGUAGUUGAAUUUCUGCGUUAUCGAGUUAUUGACUCUUGUCUUUAAUCGAUUUCGCUUUUGGGAUUUAUCCCUUUUUACUUUGAGAAAAUUAGAGUGUUUCAAGCAGACUUUUGUCUUGAAUACUUCAGCAUGGAAUAAUAGAGUAGGACUUUGGUUCUAUUUUGUUGGUUUUUGAACCUUAGUAAUGGUUAAUAGGAACGGUUGGGGGCAUUCGUAUUUAACUGUCAGAGGUGAAAUUCUUAGAUUUGUUAAAGACGAACUACUGCGAAAGCAUUUGCCAAGGACGUUUCCAUUAAUCAAGAACGAAAGUUAGGGGAUCGAAGACGAUCAGAUACCGUCGUAGUCCUA